rnacentral:lncRNA from 1 species
UGGCACAUUCCCUAUUUCCUACCAUGUGGCUGCUAACCCUUUUAAGUUGUGAAGACAGAGGAUCCAGGUGGACCAACCACGGAUGCAAAAGGGAGGAGGUGGUUUUAACUCCUAUGUGCAAGGAUUUAAUUCCUCACGUAUCCUCUCUUCCUAUUCAAGCUAAUUCCAGGUCAUCAGUGUACUCUAGGUAUUCUAAUCAGAUUCAUUAAGUUUUUUUUCCUGGAAUCACUGAUCGUGGGCAGCAGUAUUGAGCUUUAUUCAGGGUGUGGGACUGAGGUCUCUCCAUGAGGCCAUUCACUUUUGAUAAGGAAACUGGCCUCACUCUAGGAGUUCAGUAAAGGCCCAGCUUGCUGGCUCACUGAUUAAUUGAAGGGUGGGGGUGUGGGGCUUGCUGUGCACAACUAAAGUUCACCUGGAUGCCCCCGUCACUGCCCAAAGCAAUGCUUGGCCUACAGGAAGCUGAGCCUGCUGCUGCCUUCCUCCCGGCUCCUGGCUCCCUCAGGAUCUGAACACUCAGGGUCAUGCUGUUGCUGCCCAAGCAGGAAAAUCCUGUUUCUGAAAAUCCCAAACAACAAACAGCUCCCCUACAGAGCUCAUGGGGGAGUAGUCAGAACCUCCAGACUGAGCAUGUCACAAGGAAGGACUGCUUUGCUGAAGCCACUCACUCUGGGAGAUUUAUAAUUGGAAGUUUGGCCCAGGGAGAUAAUCAGCCAAGAGCGCGAAGAGGAGAAGAGACACACAGAGGACAAGGCCAUGUCACAACAAGUG